UCUGGUAAUUCUUUUCUCCAUUUCUUGAUCACCAUAGAAAAGUUUCAAACCUUCCUAACGCCCAUUGGCAGAAGAGGAACAGAAAAGAUAAAUAGCUAGGAUUGUUUCUUUGAAAGAGGAUAAGUAAAAGAUCCUCUUUUAGACUUUAUAUAAAUUAGAUAAAUUUGUCUUCAUCCUGACCAACUGUCAAAAAUUUUACUAUAUGUGAGACUAUGGCUCAAAUGGGUAUGGUUAACUUUCAGAAAGGAAGUUGAAGCACCUGCUCUGCUCUUAAUUAUAAGAUGGAUGAAAAUAAAUCAAUAACACAUAGUUUAGGUAAAGCUUGGUAAUGUCAGUUUUUCUAAUGAUAGUCAAAUAAUUCAUUGUUUUGUGCCUCUUGCCCAUCAGAACCUUAGUAAUCUGCACAUGAAAAAUAGUUGCAAAAGAAAUGAAGUUAUAUCUGAGUCCCCCAGAACUAAAAUAAUUCCUUGCAGCCAGAUAGAGUUGGAUAGGGUGUCCCUCUGUUCUGCUUUGUUUUGUUAAUUUUGCCUAUGUUCCAGCUCCUCACCAUAGUGGUGGUGCCUAAAGAAAGGGCCAUCAGCAGCAAACAGGUCAGGAUAGUAGUGACUUAGAGAUAGAGCUGCUUUCCCUAUGUGAGUAUUUCCAUGACUGUUGGUGGCUCUAAAGACUGCAGAUCUUUAUGCAAUAUUCUCAAUACCCUAAUGAUAUUAUGCACUUUAAUCAUUCCAAAGAAGUGAAAAAUGCUGUAUAGUGAUGAUUCCUUUUGAUGAAUACAUUUUAACUGUUUAGAAUAUUUAUGUCCCUUUUUAUUUUGGAUAGCCAACUUGGUAUGUUAUGGGAAUAUUUUCUAAAAUGACUGUAUAGUAGGACUUACUAAGGCUUUGAGAUGUAACUGACUAUAAGGGGAAAUGAUUACACUUCAGAAAAUCAUUUUAGAAACAUUAAAAUGUUCAGCUUGCUAAUCUAUGUGUUCGAGAGUUAAUUAACCAGCUUUCUUCCUAUAUUUUUUUCAUAUUAAUAACAUAGUAUAUAGUUUUCUACAUGUAUGUAUAAAC
rnacentral:lncRNA from 1 species